rnacentral:rRNA from 1 species
GCAAGUGGUAGGAGAGCGUUCUAUUCAGCGUUGAAGGUAUACCGGUAAGGAGUGCUGGAGCGGAUAGAAGUGAGCAUGCAGGCAUGAGUAGCGAUAAUUGAUGUGAGAAUCAUCAACGCCAAAAACCCAAGGUUUCCUACGCGAUGCUCGUCAUCGUAGGGUUAGUCGGGUCCUAAGCAAAGUCCGAAAGGGGUAUGCGAUGGAAAAUUGGUUAAUAUUCCAAUACCAAUUAUUAUGUGCGAUGGAAGGACGCUUAAAGUUAGUGGAGCUAGCGGAUGGAAGUGCUAGUCUAAGGGUGUAGGUUGAGUUAUAGGCAAAUCCGUAACUCUUUAUCCGAGACCUAAAAGGCUCAUGACGCUCUUCGGAGUAGAUUGAGAAUCCAUGAUACUAUCGAGCCAAGAAAAGUUUCUAAGUUUAGUAAUAAUUGCCCGUACCGUAAACCGACACAGGUGGGUGGGAUGAGUAUUCUAAGGCGCGUGGAAGAACUCUCUUUAAGGAACUCUGCAAAAUAGCACCGUAUCUUCGGUAUAAGGUGUGCCUAACUUUGUAUUAAGAUUCACUCCCAAAGCAAAGAAGGUUACAACAAAGAGUCCCUCCCGACUGUUUACCAUAAACACAGCACUCUGCUAACACGUAAG